rnacentral:rRNA from 1 species
CUCGCGUGUCGUGUCAGCCGCCGCGGUAAUACAGAGGGUGCGAGCGUUAAUCGGAUUUACUGGGCGUAAAGCGUGCGUAGGCGGCUUUUUAAGUCGGAUGUGAAAUCCCUGAGCUUAACUUAGGAAUUGCAUUCGAUACUGGGAAGCUAGAGUAUGGGGAGAGGAUGGUAGAAUUCCAGGUGUAGCGGUGAAAUGCGUAGAGAUCUGGAGGAAUACCGAUGGCGAAGGCAGCCAUCUGGCCUAAUACUGACGCUGAGGUACGAAAGCAUGGGGAGCAAACAGGAUUAGAUACCCUGGUAGUCCAUGCCGUAAACGAUGUCUACUAGCCGUUGGGGCCUUUGAGG